AUAUAUAUAUAUUUUUAUUUUUAAUUAUUUAAUUUUUUUAUUUUUUUUUCCAAUUCCACAUUCGAAAUCCAUAAGAAAUCCAUAAGAC
rnacentral:ribozyme from 1 species